GUUCUAGUAUAUGCAACCAAUUAUACAAAAACUUUAUUCAGAUGUCAACAAAUUAUUACUCCUCUAAGCUUGCCCAGUUAGAUUAAAGGUGAAGAAUAACCAUAACCUAAUUCAAAAUUUUAAAUAAAUUUUAUGAAAACUGUGCACCACUAGCAGUGGUACUGAAAAAAAAUAAUAAAGAAAUAAACGUUGUACCGAGCAACUCAAUCCUGCUCUUUUUUUAUUAAACAGAAACCAUUUAAAGCGAUCGUAAAUGGUAAUUCCCCUUAGUUUAUUCAAAUAUUUAAAAUAAAAAUAAACUCAAACAUUAAUGCAAUAAGAAUCUAAAAAAAAACUACAAAUACAGGAAUUAUCACAAGAUGUUACUUCCUGGAAUGUCAUUUAAUAAUUCCUGGUAUUAUUUGUUUAAUAAACUAGAUAAAUAUAUCUUCUGCAACACUACAUAUACGACAGCAGCGUAGUGUUAUUUUUAUUCGACCCAAGAAACAGUGAAACGUGCUGAAAAUGAAACUUCUCAUUAUUUUCCUGAUUCUGGCAGUGACGAUUUCCGCUACUCCCAAAAAACGCUUUUUUGGUGCCUCUGGAUCUAGUCAAAAUACCGCAGGCGCUCCGAUUCGUCAAAGUGGAGAACACAAGAGCGGACAGUUUUUUGGAACUCAUAGCGUUGACGGGACUUAUAACCCCCAUGGUCCUGGGAGCGCGCCAGCUCGCCACUAGUUACAACGUAAUAUUUCGUUAAUUAAAUCUUAAAAUAGAAGUGUUUUUUAAAAGCAAUAAAAUGUACUUUUGAAUCAUGAACAAA